rfam:Punctularia strigosozonata HHB-11173 SS5 unplaced genomic scaffold PTNSTscaffold_18, whole genome shotgun sequence.
AACAGGUGGCAGUACACGUGGGUGUGAAUGUAAAGGAGGACCUCCUCGGCUUCCAUGAAGAAGAAGCAGAUAGCGAAGCUUGAAGACGCUGGCGGGGGCCCCGGGAAGAGUUAUCUUUUCUCCUUAACAGUCUGCCACCCUGAAAUCGGAUUGUCCGGAGCUAGGGUUCAAUGGCUGGUAGAGCCCAACAUCUCUGUCGGGUCCGGUGUGUCCUUGACAGUCCUUGAACAUCCAAGGGAACGAAUGAUUUUCGCGCCUG